GCCAGCGGCAGGAGUAUGGGGCGCACCUGUCGACGUCGACAUAACCCGGCUGGACGAGUCAGCGCUUUCUUCUCGACAAGGCUCAAGUCUGGGAGUCAAGAGCAAAGGCUGCGGCAAGACAGAAGAGCCUAUUGUAGGGCAAGGGCAGGACAGAAAGAAGACUACCAGUCGAGGAGGCUGCUUGUGACGGAGGCUCAGCACGCUGAAUGCCUCGUAGCCACUUGUUCUCAUGUCUAGACACAUGUAUCGAUUGUGGGACACGUUCCCUGGAUCAAGACCGUAAGCUUGUCACCAGCUGACAAGUGACUUCUACAAGACUGUCAACAGCAGGCGGUGCCUGUUUAUUUGCAAGGUGGCGUCAGGUCAUACCAAGCGUCCUAUCCAAUGGCCGGAAAUAACAACGCUCAACGUGAACGCAGGAAGGACAAUAUCAUGUGCAUCGACUAAUACAAUGUAACGUUAGCUUGCGAAAGUGUCUGAUCAAAAGUUCAGGAAGCUACUGUCCCGUCAGUAGGUAUUUUAUCUACACAAUAAUGUGCAUCUUGACUAUAGCUCAGUGGUUAGAAGAAUGUGCAUGUACAUACAUUUACGUACCACCAGUCACUGGUCACAUUCUGUUAGAGUAGAUUGUCGUUUGGUCGGCAGUACAUGUAGUACCAGUCGGUCACUCUACACUGCACACAGGUACAUUUUUUGUACACAGGUACAUGGCACAUGGCACAUGGUACCAUUGUGCUGUGUAGUGCAUGUACCUUGUAGUGUAGGCCACCUGUUAUAGUAGUCUGAAAGCUACAUGGACAUCUUGUCCAUGUGACGAUUGUAAGAUUUUCAUCGAGAGUAUACUACUUCUACUACUAGUGUAUGUGGCAUUAUGGUGACCGUGCUUGGGUUUAGAGGGAUCGACGUGAAACGUCCCACCUUCAAAUGCACACUACUGUACUGUGAUCCCAUGGCAAUAUCAGUGGCCACAAGGUAACAUUGUGUCACCAUGAAGCAUGUG